UUCUGAUUGUAUACUCUGAACUUAUGAAACCUUCUAAUUUCAGAAGACUCACACGUCCAGAACAACCAACAAAUCCCAGAGUCUCAUUUUUCAAUUCUGAGAGAUUAACAUUCUGAGAAAAACAUCUUUUUCAUUCUGGACAUAAGUCGAUUUUCAUAUUUUUCAUAAUGAAAAUAAAUCUAUCUUCAACAAGGACUUUUAUAAAGAUAUCAACCC
rnacentral:lncRNA from 1 species